rnacentral:rRNA from 1 species
CUACGGGGUGCAGCAGUGAGGAAUUUUGCGCAAUGGGGGCAACCCUGACGCAGCAACGCCGCGUGAGUGAAGAAGGCCUUUGGGUCGUAAAGCUCUGUCGACAGGGAAGAAGUUACAUUGGACUAACAGUGCAGUGUAUUGACGGUACCUGUAGAGGAAGCAUCGGCUAACUCCGUGCCAGCAGCCUCGGUAAUACGGGGGAUGCAAGCGUUAUUCGGAAUCAUUGGGCGUAAAGGGCACGCAGGCGGUCUUGUCAGUCAGAUGUGAAAGCCCGGGGCUCAACCCCGGACGUGCAUUUGAAACAGCAAGACUUGAGUACGGUAGAGGAAAGCGGAAUUCCUGGUGUAGAGGUGAAAUUCGUAGAUAUCAGGAGGAACACCGGUGGCGAAGGCGGCUUUCUGGACCGAAACUGACGCUGAGGUGCGAAGGCGUGGGUAGCGAACAGGAUUAGAUACCCCAGUAGUC